GGCUCAGGACGAACGCUGGCGGCGUGCCUAACACAUGCAAGUCGAACGGAGUUCAUUGGAUUGAGGCUUCGGCCAAAUGAAUUUGAACUUAGUGGCGAACGGGUGAGUAACGCGUGAGCAACCUGCCUUUCAGAGGGGAAUAACAGUGAGAAAUCAUUGCUAAUACCGCAUAUGCUAACAGUAUCGCAUGAUACAGUUAGGAAAGGAGUAAUCCGCUGAUAGAUGGGCUUGCGUCUGAUUAGCUAGUUGGUGGGGUAAAGGCCUACCAAGGCGACGAUCAGUAGCCGGACUGAGAGGUUGAACGGCCACAUUGGGACUGAGAUACGGCCCAGACUCCUACGGGAGGCAGCAGUCGGGAAUAUUGCGCAAUGGAGGAAACUCUGACGCAGUGACGCCGCGUAUAGGAAGAAGGUUUUCGGAUUGUAAACUAUUGUCGUUAGGGAAGAUACAAGACAGUACCUAAGGAGGAAGCCCCGGCUAACUAUGUG
rnacentral:rRNA from 1 species